rnacentral:rRNA from 1 species
UUUGUNAGAGAUACAAAGUUCCCUUCGGGGACGCUAAGACAGGUGGUGCAUGGCUGUCGUCAGCUCGUGUCGUGAGAUGUUGGGUUAAGUCCCGCAACGAGCGCAACCCUUGUUAUUAGUUGCCAGCAUUAAGUUGGGCACUCUAAUGAGACUGCCGGUGACAAACCGGAGGAAGGUGGGGAUGACGUCAAGUCAUCAUGCCCCUUAUGACCUGGGCUACACACGUGCUACAAUGGGCAGUACAACGAGAAGCGAGCCUGCGAAGGCAAGCGAAUCUCUGAAAGCUGUUCUCAGUUCGGACUGCAGUCUGCAACUCGACUGCACGAAGNCUGGAAUCG